rnacentral:rRNA from 2 species
CGGCGAGGGGAGUGAAAAAGAACCUGAAACCGUGUACGUACAAGCAGUAGGAGCCUCUUUAUGGGGUGACUGCGUACCUUUUGUAUAAUGGGUCAGCGACUUAUAUUCUGUAGCAAGGUUAACCGCAUAGGGGAGCCGUAGGGAAACCGAGUCUUAACUGGGCGAAUGAGUUGCAGGGUAUAGACCCGAAACCCGGUGAUCUAUCCAUGGGCAGGUUGAAGGUUGGGUAACACUAACUGGAGGACCGAACCGACUAAUGUUGAAAAAUUAGCGGAUGACUUGUGGAUGGGGGUGAAAGGCCAAUCAAACCGGGAGAUAGCUGGUUCUCCCCGAAAGCUAUUUAGGUAGCGCCUCGUGAACUCAUCUUCGGGGGUAGAGCACUGUUUCGACUAGGGGGUCAUCCCGACUUACCAACUCGAUGCAAACUGCGAAUACCGAAGAAUGUUAUCACGGGAGACACACGGCGGGUGCUAACGUCCGUCGUGAAGAGGGAAACAACCCAGACCGCCAGCUAAGGUCCCAAAGUCAUGGUUAAGUGGGAAACGAAGUGGGAAGGCUCAGACAGCCAGGAUGUUGGCUUAGAAGCAGCCAUCAUUUAAAGAAAGCGUAAUAGCUCACUGGUCGAGUCGGCCCGCGCGGAAGAUGUAACGGGGCUAAACCAUGCACCGAAGCUGCGGCAGCGACACAUAGUGUUGUUGGGUAGGGGAGCGUUCUGUAAGCCUGCGAAGGUGUACUGUGAGGUAUGCUGGAGGUAUCAGAAGUGCGAAUGCUGACAUAAGUAACGAUAAUGCGGGUGAAAAACCCGCACGCCGGAAGACCAAGGGUUCCUGUCCAACGUUAAUCGGGGCAGGGUGAGUCGACCCCUAAGGCGAGGCUGAAAAGCGUAGUCGAUGGGAAACGGGUUAAUAUUCCCGUACUGGUGGUAACUGCGAUGGGGGAACGGAGAAGGCUAGGUUGUCCGGGCGACGGUCGUCCCGGUUCAAGCAGGUAGGCAGAGUGAUUAGGCAAAUCCGGUCACUUAAUGCUGAGAUGUGAUGACGAACCACUAAGGUGGUGAAGCAAUUGAUGCCCCGCUUCCAGGAAAAGCCUCUAAGCUUCAGGUUACCAACAAUCGUACCCCAAACCGACACAGGUGGUCAGGUAGAGAAUACUCAGGCGCUUGAGAGAACUCGGGUGAAGGAACUAGGCAAAAUGGUGCCGUAACUUCGGGAGAAGGCACGCUGGCGGUAGGUAAAGUCCCUCGCGGACGGCGCUGAAGCCAGUCGAAGAUACCAGCUGGCUGCAACUGUUUAUUAAAAACACAGCACUGUGCAAACACGAAAGUGGACGUAUACGGUGUGACGCCUGCCCGGUGCUGGAAGGUUAAUUGAUGGGGUCAGCCGCAAGGCGAAGCUCCUGAUCGAAGCCCCAGUAAACGGCGGCCGUAACUAUAACGGUCCUAAGGUAGCGAAAUUCCUUGUCGGGUAAGUUCCGACCUGCACGAAUGGCGUAAUGAUGGCCAGGCUGUCUCCACCCGAGACUCAGUGAAAUUGAACUCGCUGUGAAGAUGCAGUGUACCCGCGGCAAGACGGAAAGACCCCGUGAACCUUUACUAUAGCUUGACACUGAACAUUGAGCCUUGAUGUGUAGGAUAGGUGGGAGGCUUUGAAGUGUGGACGCCAGUCUGCAUGGAGCCAACCUUGAAAUACCACCCUUUAACGUUUGAUGUUCUAACCUAGGCCCAUAAACUGGGUCGGGGACCGUGUCUGGUGGGUAGUUUGACUGGGGCGGUCUCCUCCUAAAGAGUAACGGAGGAGCACGAAGGUUGGCUAAGCAUGGUCGGACAUCAUGCGGUUAGUGCAAAGGCAUAAGCCAGCUUGACUGCGAGAGUGACGGCUCGAGCAGGUACGAAAGUAGGUCUUAGUGAUCCGGUGGUUCUGAAUGGAAGGGCCAUCGCUCAACGGAUAAAAGGUACUCCGGGGAUAACAGGCUGAUACCGCCCAAGAGUUCAUAUCGACGGCGGUGUUUGGCACCUCGAUGUCGGCUCAUCACAUCCUGGGGCUGAAGUAGGUCCCAAGGGUAUGGCUGUUCGCCAUUUAAAGUGGUACGCGAGCUGGGUUUAGAACGUCGUGAGACAGUUCGGUCCCUAUCUGCCGUGGGCGUUGGAAGAUUGAGAGGGGUUGCUCCUAGUACGAGAGGACCGGAGUGAACGCACCACUGGUGUUCGGGUUGUCAUGCCAAUGGCAUUGCCCGGUAGCUAAGUGCGGAAGAGAUAACCGCUGAAAGCAUCUAAGCGGGAAACUUGCCUCGAGAUGAGUCUUCCCUGUCACUUUAAGUGACCUAAAGGAACGUUUAAGACUAAGACGUUGAUAGGCUGGGUGUGUAAGCGUAGCGAUACGUUGAGCUAACCAGUACUAAUGAACCGUGAGGCUUAACCU